UUUUGGUCCACACUCCAUACCAGUAGGUGGCGGUAGGUGCGCCAAUUUUGUUGUUUGCCAACCGCUAUGAUAAAGAAAGAAGUGCGGACAGGCAGCUGCAGGAGCCGGAAGUUCAGGUCGGAACCAGAAAUCUGGUCACAUGAUGCUUGACCCCAUAAGUACGACUCUGCAAAGCUCAGGGGGACAAAGAGGAGAUGGUGGAUGUCUACCAGGAGCAGAUAUUACAUCCUGCAGCCAUGUUCAGACAGCUCUGCUGCUUCAGUUUCCUGAAGAUGCAUCGAGACGAGGACUGGAGAUGGUGGAAACUU